UGGGGAAUCUUGCACAAUGGGGGCAACCCUGAUGCAGCGACGCCGCGUGAGCGAUGAAGCCCUUCGGGGCGUAAAGCUCUUUCGACCGGAACGAUAAUGACGGUACCGGGAGAAGAAGCUGCGGCUAACUACGUGCCAGCAGCCGCGGUAAUACGUAGGCAGCAAGCGUUGUUCGGAGUUACUGGGCGUAAAGAGUGCGUAGGCGGUUUUCUAAGUUCGGUGUGAAAUCUCCCGGCUUAACUGGGAGGGUGCGCCGAAGACUGGGAAGCUGGAGUGUGGGAAAGGCAGGCGGAAUUCCUGGUGUAGCGGUGAAAUGCGUAGAUAUCAGGAGGAACACCUGCGGUGUAGACAGCUUUCUGGACCAAAACUGACGCUGAGGCACGAAAGCGUGGGUAGCAAUCA
rnacentral:rRNA from 1 species